AGUCUCAUGGCUUUGUAUUGUAACAAAAAAUAGCCGUGUAGUUGACCGUGUAUAUAAGAAGAUUUGAGAAAUCUGGAAAGUACUAAAUUGUAAUUAAUGCUUAGCCCAUUCACUACCAAAAAAGCGUGUUCUACCCACGGUUCCAAAAACCAUGGCAAAAUUAAUCACAAAAUAUAAGGUUCUCGACACUUACGAAACUGACGCUAAAAUAUCGUGGGCAAAACAGGCAAGUUUCCAUUUAUUUCGUUGUUAAUUUUUCUUAUUUGGUUCCCCCAUUUAGUUCUUCUCUUUACCAAAUUGAAAGAAAAUAGAAAACAAAAACUCUUUGCAAACCCUAGUCUUUCACCGUCCCAAAAUGGACUGCUUCACUGUACCAAGCUUCGAAAAUGGCAUAAUCUCUUCUUAAAUCUGAAGAAGCUACUGAUAUUCUCAGCAUUUCAUAGGGGAAAGUUUAUCUUCUCUGCUUCAGGAUAAAAUAUCGGAGCAUCUAUCUCAAGAUCAAGAACAUGCUGCCACUUUAGGUGUUCCAUUGAAGAUAUUGGCUCAUCCUAAUGACGCCAUUGGAAAAGUAUAUGGAACUGAACAUUCUGGUCGUGUGCAUGGUUUAAGUGGUAAUGUUUUCCCCUCGACUACUUUGGAAUGCCUAAACAUUCAAUUAGUCAUGUGAAUCUUGGUGGUUCUAGUAAUAUAUCUCAUCAACGUGUUGAAGACCUAGAGAAGCAUGUAGAAACCUUGGAAGAAAAGCUGACUGGAUAUGAAGAGAUGAAGGAAACACUUGAGAAUACCAAGGAACAACUUGUGGAGACUAAGGAACGGCUUGCGCAAAAUGAGAAUUACCUGGCAACUCUUCAUAGGUUUUUACAAGCUAAAUUUGGUAGGUGAGUUGCCUAGUUUCAACUUAGAUUCUUCUUAGCCUUUUGUGCAUAGAAUAUUUUUGUACCACUAAAUAUGUGGUGUACCUCUAACUUUAUGCUUUUCCAUUACACUAGCAAUUGUGGUAUCUUUUUUGUAUGUUCAAGGUUUGAAACUUAUGAUUUGAUAGAUAUGAUAAGUAGAACUUUAAAACUUUGAUAUUUAUAGCAAUGCUUUGUGUACUUUGUCCAUUG